GCCGAGGUGGCGAAACAGGUAGACGCGCUGGACUCAAAAUCCAGUGGGGUUAAACCCGUGUGGGUUCGAGUCCCACCCUCGGUA
rnacentral:tRNA from 2 species